UCGCAUCAAGCGGGAGGACUGCGGCAGGCUGUUGCUCCGCCGGUUCGGGAGUCGCCGGUUCGGGAGCGGCUGGUGCGGG
rnacentral:tRNA from 1 species